CCAGGCUGUGACCUUCGAAAGACGCUUCCGAAUUUCCAUUCAUGGCCUUGUGCUUUGCCCGGGCCACAUCUCUGUAACACAUAACACAACUUGACCAGUUAGAACAAAGGUUGGGCAACUUCACUGGGGCAGUUUUCACACACCUCUGGAUUGCUGACAGGCUGCACCCCGACAAAAAGAUAAAACUGGAGAAAUAGACGAAUGACAAGGAAAUAGAAGAUGACUGGGCACCGACUGCAAAACACUACAAAAAGAAGCAGGGAAGGACUAACGAACAGGACAGCGUUGGAAUCAUGCAGCCGUUCAGUUGUUUCUGGACUGAAGGUUGAGUCUUCCUUAUCUGUGAUGUCGAAAUCUGAAAUAUUCCAAAAUCCAAAAUGAUCCACAUAGUAGCUGCGAUGGCAACACCUUUGCUUUCGGAUGGCUCAGUGGAGACAAACUUUGUUUCACGCUCAAAAUUAUUUAAAAUGUUGUAUAUAAAAAGCUCUGCAGGUUAUGUGUAGAAGUUAUAUAUGAAACGUAAAUGAAUUUCAUGUUUAGACUUGGGCCUCAUCACCAAGAUAUUUCAUUCAGUAGAUGGAAAUAUUCCAGAAUCCAAAAAACUCCCAAACCCUAAACAUUUCUGGUCCCAAGCAUUUUGGAUAAGGGAGAUCCAAGAUAUAUAAUGCUACUUGUAUUUCUUUUUAUCUUGCAAACCAUUUUGAGUCCCAACUUGGGGUGUAAGGUGGGUUAUAAAGUGAUAGGUGGAUGGAUAGAUGAUAGGUAGAUGACAAAUAGAUAGAUAGAUAGAUAGACAGACAGACAGACAGACCUCACUGGCCUUGUUUCAUCCAGGUCCAGCAGCCUACUCAGCCUGGUUAGGGAUGAAGCAACAGAGUUUGGUCCAGUGAGAAAAAUAAGAUUGGUACAAUUCAAGAUGAUUGGUACAAUUCAGCUAUUUAUUAUUGCUUAAUACUUGCUUGCCCUCUAGUGGAUAUCAGAAUUACAAGCCUUAUAAAAGUGGCACUUUAAAAUGUUCCUUUCCUGGACUGCAACUCGUAUGCUAUCUGAGGCAAUCUGGGAGACUCAUGUCCAAAACACACUGCAGAAAUCAUCCAGUUUGAGACCGCUUUAACUGCCCUGGUUCAGUGCU